rnacentral:tRNA from 1 species
AAAAAUCUAGUUUAAAAAAAAUUUUAAUUUGUCAAAUUAAAGAUAUUCAUAUUAUAUGAUGAUUUUUG